CAGCCGCCACGGUAACACGUAGGUGGCAAGCGUUGUCCGGAAUUAUUGGGCGUAAAGCGCGCGCAGGCGGAUCGGUCAGUCUGUCUUAAAAGUUCGGGGCUUAACCCCGUGAUGGGAUGGAAACUGCCAAUCUAGAGUAUCGGAGAGGAAAGUGGAAUCCCUAGUGUAGCGGUGAAAUGCGUAGAUAUUAGGAAGAACACCAGUGGCGAAGGCGACUUUCUGGACGAAAACUGACGCUGAGGCGCGAAAGCCAGGGGAGCGAACGGGAUUAGAUACCCCAGUAGUCCCUGUCUCUUAUACA
rnacentral:rRNA from 1 species